rnacentral:rRNA from 1 species
AGAGUUUGAUUCUGGCUCAGGAUGAACGCUGGCGGCGUGCCUAACACAUGCAAGUCGAGCGAAGCACUUUACUUGAUUUCUUCGGAUUGAAAGUAUAGUGACUGAGCGGCGGACGGGUGAGUAACGCGUGGGUAACCUGCCUCAUACAGGGGGAUAACAGUUAGAAAUGACUGCUAAUACCGCAUAAGACCACAGCACCGCAUGGUGCGGGGGUAAAAACUCCGGUGGUAUGAGAUGGACCCGCGUCUGAUUAGCUAGUUGGUAAGGUAAGGGCUUACCAAGGCGACGAUCAGUAGCCGACCUGAGAGGGUGAUCGGCCACAUUGGGACUGAGACACGGCCCAAACUCCUACGGGAGGCAGCAGUGGGGAAUAUUGCACAAUGGGGGAAACCCUGAUGCAGCGACGCCGCGUGAGUGAUGAAGUAUUUCGGUAUGUAAAGCUCUAUCAGCAGGGAAGAAAAUGACGGUACCUGACUAAGAAGCACCGGCUAAAUACGUGCCAGCAGCCGCGGUAAUACGUAUGGUGCAAGCGUUAUCCGGAUUUACUGGGUGUAAAGGGAGCGUAGACGGAGAGGCAAGUCUGAUGUGAAAACCCGGGGCUCAACCCCGGGACUGCAUUGGAAACUGUUUUUCUAGAGUGUCGGAGAGGCAAGUGGAAUUCCUAGUGUAGCGGUGAAAUGCGUAGAUAUUAGGAGGAACACCAGUGGCGAAGGCGGCUUGCUGGACGAUGACUGACGUUGAGGCUCGAAAGCGUGGGGAGCAAGCAGGAUUAGAUACCCUGGUAGUCCACGCCGUAAACGAUGACUACUAGGGGGUCGGGGGGCAAAAGCCAAUUCGUUGCCGCAGCAAACGCCAAUAAGUAGUCCCCCCUGGGGAGUACGUUCGCAAGAAGGAAACUCAAAGAAAUUGACGGGGACCCGCACAAGCGGUGGAGCAUGUGGUUUAAUUCGAAGCAACGCGAAGAACCUUACCUGCUCUUGACAUCCCCCUGACCGUCCCUUAAUCGGGGCUUUCCUUCGGGACAGGGGAGACAGGUGGUGCAUGGUUGUCGUCAGCUCGUGUCGUGAGAUGUUGGGUUAAGUCCCGCAACGAGCGCAACCCCUAUCUUUAGUAGCCAGCGGCCAGGCCGGGCACUCUAGAGAGACUGCCAGGGAUAACCUGGAGGAAGGUGGGGAUGACGUCAAAUCAUCAUGCCCCUUAUGAGCAGGGCUACACACGUGCUACAAUGGCGUAAACAAAGGGAGGCAGAGCCGCGAGGCCGAGCAAAUCUCAAAAAUAACGUCUCAGUUCGGAUUGUAGUCUGCAACUCGACUACAUGAAGCUGGAAUCGCUAGUAAUCGCGAAUCAGAAUGUCGCGGUGAAUAAGAUCCCGGGUCUUGCAC